UACGAAGGGGGCUAGCGUUGCUCGGAAUUACUGGGCGUAAAGGGCGCGUAGGCGGCCGAUCAAGUCAGGCGUGAAAUUCCCGGGCUCAACCUGGGGGCUGCGCUUGAUACUGGUUGGCUAGAGGCCGAGAGAGGGUGGUGGAAUUCCCAGUGUAGAGGUGAAAUUCGUAGAUAUUAGGAGGAACACCGAUGGCGAAGGCAGUCAUCUGGGCUUCAACUGACGCUGAUGCGCGAAAGCGUGGGGAGCAAACAGG
rnacentral:rRNA from 1 species